UCUAUUUGCUCUUUCAAUUUCUCAUUCCUUUGUCUUGCAGUUCAGCGAAAGCUACCAUUCUUAUUCAGAAGGGAGAUGCAGAGAGAAAGAGAAAAUGCAAGAAAAGAAAAAGAAAAAAAGAGCGAGACGAGAAAGGAAACACAGCUGAGGAGAUGCCUUCGAUGCAAAUAUUAAGCAAAGCUACAACAGUAAUUCAUCCUGCACACCUCCUCAGACUGAAAACCAUUAUCUACCGGCACUCAUGACUACUGCAAAGAUACAUAAAUUUUCUUUUUUGGUCAGAGCAAUAGAAUGCAGAAAUCCUGGAGAAGACCAAGAUGCGUUUGAAAACAAAUUUGUUAAUGCAGAAAAAGAUCAGAAGGAGCAGGCUAUAUUAUGCUGAAUCUGAUUUUCAGUUUACUCCAUAAGCAUUAUUUUGACUAGCUGCAGCUGCAUUAAGAAGGCAACAAACAUGGCUAAUUUAAAAGGCAGACACCGUCUCUUCAAAACAUUGAAGUUUUCAACAUUCCGUCUCUAAAAUGAGGAACACUACCUUUCAUACUGUGGAACAAACGGGCAAAACGUGAAACACCUACUAGCAGCUUACUAACAACUUCGACUAGGAAGCUCACAGGAUGGUUAAAACGUGCUACUUAUAAAAAGUUAUUUUGAUGAAAUAAUAUGAUCCAGCACGAUUUACCAUGGAUACAUCAUAACACCGAAUGUGUGACAGACCCUUUCAGUAUUGAACUUUGAGGAAUAUGGGCCUUUUAAGACCCCAAAUGAGGAAUGCUUGUUCAUAAUGAGGUACAUUUGAGAGGUAUGUGCCUUUCGACGAUUCCGUUAACAUUGAUAUCUUGAGGGUGGUAGUGCGGAAUACUUCUCAACUUCCUUUGAUUUUGCCUCAUAUUUUUGUCCUGGACCUCGUAAUAUAUAUAUUUUUUUAUUUUUGUGGUAAAUUAUCAGUGUUUACAGUUAAACAAUAAUGCCAGCGCAGACAAUGGAGUUUCCUAGUUCUUAGUGUUCUGAAAAAAAUGUAUAUUGAUGCGAGACCUGCAGUGUUAUAUUUUUAAGAGAAUGAGGAUAAUAUGUAAAAGAAAGUGCCCGAUUUAGACCCCCUACACACACACACACACACACACACACACACACACACACACACACACACACUUUAUUUUCGGCUUUAUUCAGCGUUCUUGAGCAAACAAAUUGAGAGGUAUGGAUGGUGGGGUGCUUGUUACAGCAAUGGGAACCUGACAACAGUCUGCUCUAUUGUGUAAAGUCAGUAUU